GCGCUGCAGACUUACUACUCUUGAAUCCAGCGAAUCCUUUAGAGAUAGAGGAGUGCCUUCGGGAACGCUGAGACAGGUGCUGCAUGGCUGUCGUCAGCUCGUGUUGUGAAAUGUUGGGUUAAGUCCCGCAACGAGCGCAACCCUUAUCCUUUGUUGCCAGCACGUAAUGGUGGGAACUCAAAGGAGACUGCCGGUGAUAAACCGGAGGAAGGUGGGGAUGACGUCAAGUCAUCAU
rnacentral:rRNA from 1 species